rnacentral:rRNA from 1 species
CUUGUUCAGAACUUAAAGAGAAAUCUUGAGUUUAUGGACUUCAGGGGGAGUAUGGUCACAAGGCUGAAACUUAAAGGAAUUGACGGAAGGGCACACCAGGAGUGGAGCCUGCGGCUUAAUUUGACUCAACACGGGAAAACUUACCAAGACCGAACAGUAGAAGGAAUGACAGAUUAAGAGUUCUUUCAUGAUUUAUUGGGUAGUGGUGCAUGGCCGUUCUUAGUUGGUGGAGUGAUUUGUCAGGUUAAUUCCGGUAACGAACGAGACUGAAACCUAUUAAUUAGUU